UCUGGAGACUUCGAAACGCGUAAGAAAGCAGCCAUCAAGUUCCUUGAAAAGGGUAACAAGGUAAAGUUGAACUUACGUUUCCGUGGCCGAAUGAUUACCCACCAAGAUAUUGGACGGGAAGUCUUAGAACGGAUGGCCAACGAAUUGGACGACAUUGCCAAGGUUGAGCAACGUGCUAAGAUGGACGGUCGGCAAAUGUUUUUGGUUUUGGCACCUAAGAAGGGCUAAGCCAAGCAUACCGACUUUGAUACUUGAAAAACGAUAGGAGAAUGGACACAUGCCCAAGAUGAAGACUCACCGCGCUGCUGCGAAGCGCUUCAAGAAGACUGCAA
rnacentral:misc_RNA from 1 species